GAUGAACGCUAGCGGCAGGCCUAAUACAUGCAAGUCGAACGGUGUCUUCGGACAUAGUGGCGCACGGGUGCGUAACACGUAUGCAACCUACCUUACAUGGGGGGAUAGCCUUUCGAAAGGGAGAUUAAUACCGCAUAAGACAGUAGCUGGGCAUCCAGCAGCUGUUAAAGAUUUAUCGAUGUAAGCUGGGCAUGCGUCCAAUUAGCUAGUUGGUGAGGUAACGGCUCACCAAGGCAAUGAUUGGUAGGGGAACUGAGAGGUCAAGCCCCCACACUGGCACUGGGAUACGGGCCAGACUCCUACGGGAGGCAGCAGUAGGGAAUAUUGGGCAAUGGACGCAAGUCUGACCCAGCCAUGCCGCGUGCAGGAUGAAGGCGUUAUGCGUUGUAAACUGCUUUUAUACAGGAAGAAACGACUCUUGCGAGAGGCAUUGACGGUACUGUAUGAAUAAGCACCGGCUAACUCCGUGCCAGCCGCCGCCGUAAUAC
rnacentral:rRNA from 1 species